CCUGGCUCAGGAUGAACGCUAGCUACAGGCUUAACACAUGCAAGUCGAGGGGCAGCAUGGUCUUAGCUUGCUAAGACUGAUGGCGACCGGCGCACGGGUGAGUAACACGUAUCCAACCUGCCGUCUACUCUUGGACAGCCUUCUGAAAGGAAGAUUAGUACAAGAUGGCAUCAUGAGUCCGCAUGUUCACAUGAUUAAAGGUAUUCCGGUAGACGAUGGGGAUGCGUUCCAUUAGAUAGUAGGCGGGGUAACGGCCCACCUAGUCUUCGAUGGAUAGGGGUUCUGAGAGGAAGGUCCCCCACAUUGGAACUGAGACACGGUCCAAACUCCUACGGGAGGCAGCAGUGAGGAAUAUUGGUCAAUGGGCGAGAGCCUGAACCAGCCAAGUAGCGUGAAGGAUGACUGCCCUAUGGGUUGUAAACUUCUUUUAUAAAGGAAUAAAGUCGGGUAUGCAUACCCGUUUGCAUGUACUUUAUGAAUAAGGAUCGGCUAACUCCGUGCCAGCAGCCGCGGUAAUACGGAGGAUCCGAGCGUUAUCCGGAUUUAUUGGGUUUAAAGGGAGCGUAGAUGGAUGUUUAAGUCAGUUGUGAAAGUUUGCGGCUCAACCGUAAAAUUGCAGUUGAUACUGGAUAUCUUGAGUGCAGUUGAGGCAGGCGGAAUUCGUGGUGUAGCGGUGAAAUGCUUAGAUAUCACGAAGAACUCCGAUUGCGAAGGCAGCCUGCUAAGCUGCAACUGACAUUGAGGCUCGAAAGUGUGGGUAUCAAACAGGAUUAGAUACCCUGGUAGUCCACACGGUAAACGAUGAAUACUCGCUGUUUGCGAUAUACGGCAAGCGGCCAAGCGAAAGCGUUAAGUAUUCCACCUGGGGAGUACGCCGGCAACGGUGAAACUCAAAGGAAUUGACGGGGGCCCGCACAAGCGGAGGAACAUGUGGUUUAAUUCGAUGAUACGCGAGGAACCUUACCCGGGCUUAAAUUGCAGAUGAAUUACGGUGAAAGCCGUAAGCCGCAAGGCAUCUGUGAAGGUGCUGCAUGGUUGUCGUCAGCUCGUGCCGUGAGGUGUCGGCUUAAGUGCCAUAACGAGCGCAACCCUUGUUGUCAGUUACUAACAGGUUCUGCUGAGGACUCUGACAAGACUGCCAUCGUAAGAUGUGAGGAAGGUGGGGAUGACGUCAAAUCAGCACGGCCCUUACGUCCGGGGCUACACACGUGUUACAAUGGGGGGUACAGAGGGCCGCUACCACGCGAGUGGAUGCCAAUCCCAAAAACCUCUCUCAGUUCGGACUGGAGUCUGCAACCCGACUCCACGAAGCUGGAUUCGCUAGUAAUCGCGCAUCAGCCACGGCGCGGUGAAUACGUUCCCGGGCCUUGUACACAC
rnacentral:rRNA from 1 species